GAACCCUGUUUCCCAGUCCCUGCUGGUGUGGCUCCGGGUUAGGGUUGGCUGCUAGAGAAGAGCCCACGAGACUCGGCAGGGGCACCUGGGCCCAGAGGCCGCUGCAGCUGGCGCCUUCGUUAGGCAUCCGCUGCUCACCUUGUGCGCAGGCGCAGCAGCGGAGCGCACUGCACUUCCGGAUGCCGUAGCCUCUCCUCCUUCCGCCUCCUAAACCAGGCACACAUGCGCCGUGCAGAGUAUCUGUAACUCUCAGAUACCUGUGAAGAGAGACCUCUGUGGCUUUCCGGUGCUGCGAGUUCAGGUUUGUCUUUAUGGACCUCAGUCUCUUCCUCCCGCUGCACAUCCCUUUCCUUCCUGACCCUGUGAGCGGCAGCAACUUCGAGCCUAAGGCAAGAUGCAGGACCAGCAGCCCAACGCUGACUUCGCCAGCUCCGCUCUGUGGCAGGAAGAAGGUUGAGACUGAGUCACUUCUGAGGGAAACGGAGGAUGUGAGAGUGUGGAGCUGGCAGCGCAGGGGCAGGGCCGAGCCUAACCUCAUGGGCUUGAGUCUCUACCUCGGCUUCUGUAGAACCAAGCGUCUUGCGCAGACAACUAGGAGCGCAGGAGUGCUGCUGACGCAACAGGAGACGGGACAGACACUCCGGUGUCCACGCUCUGUGGCGAAUUGUGCUGGUGGACAUUUGACAUCCUGUGUCUCCAGGGCCAUGAACCCUGUCACUCUGAAGUGCAACAAAGCUGAGUGAGGUUGGCAUGUAACUCUUCUGGCUUUCAUGGGGGAGGGUCAGUCAGCCAGCAGCUUGCUGGGGAGGCCUCUUUCAUUUGAUUAAAUCGGCUGUUGCCCUCGCACAGUGCCUUCAGUAGCAUCCAUAUUUUAAAUCUCUUCGGUGUAAUCCAGCUUAGAAAUUACUAGCUUGGCCUUGGAGCCCAUCCAGUUUCCAUCCUGCCGUUCUGUUCAGCGAUUCGAAUCGUCUUGGUGUGAAGACCUUCCUAGCAGACUGGCACAUUCUCGAUUCUCCUCUUAAUUAGGAAAUGGAAAGUCUGACUAAGAGCUUCUUAGUGAACUUGUAUGGUGAUGUUUUCAUGCUAGACUGUGAUGUCAUUAGUUAGGUGUUUCAAACUGCAACAACUUUUUUUUUUUUUUUAAAGGAAGUCUAUUUAAGCAGACUUCCAAGAGAAGUCUGAGGCAAACAGGAAAAUAUUGGAC
rnacentral:lncRNA from 1 species